CUGGCACUGCUUGUCUGGGGCUCUGAGCCAUUAGGGGCAGGAUAGAACCAGGUGAGUGGGAGGGUCCAUGGGGCAGGAGGAAGCUCCUCCACAGCCAGCUAGCCGGCCAGCAGCAAGAUGCUCAUUCAGAUCCAGCCUGGCUUACCCUACCCCACCAGAGAGCCCUGGGGGCAGCGAGGCCACUGACCGGUCAGACCUGACCACCACCUUCAUCCCUCUCAGCUAGCAGCCAAAAAAAAAAGAGAUGGCUGCAAUUUGGUUUUCUGGGAGCUCAGUUACCAAAACCCAAAAUUAGGAGAGAUGAUGGCUGAGCUGAGGCACCUGCAUUUCUGGAGGCCUGCUUUUGAGCUUGGCGGCAUGAGCAGGGGACUGGUUUGGCUGGUGGCUCUGUCAAGGCAGGACUCAACAUAGUCUGUGUCCUUGUCAGGCCAAGCUCUUAGGCAUUCAGGCUUUGCUCCUACCUGGAAGCCACAGAAGCUGGGAACCUCAUUAGCUGCAUGGUAUUGACAGCUCCCAAGGUCUAACACUGUCCCCCUAGACCCCACGGCAGGGCAGGGGUGUUGGGGAUAAAUACCUCCCCGGCUGGCUAAGCCCCAAGAAGCCAAAUGCUGAAGGCAACAACACCAACCAGACAUAUGGAAAACACUCUUUCCCCGACGGAUGCAGAAGGAGACUAUGGAAACCCUCAUGAGCAAAUGGAAAUGCAAGUGCCUGAGGCCUCUAGGUUCCGACUGAAGAAGCCAGCUGGGGCUAGCCAGAGGGA
rnacentral:lncRNA from 1 species